UACGUAGGGGGCUAGCGUUGUCCGGAAUCAUUGGGCGUAAAGAGCGUGUAGGCGGCCCGGUAAGUCCGCUGUGAAAGUCGGGGGCUCAACCCUCGGAUGCCGGUGGAUACUGUCGGACUAGAGUCCGGAAGAGGAGUGUGGAAUUCCUGGUGUAGCGGUGAAAUGCGCAGAUAUCAGGAGGAACACCGAUGGCGAAGGCAGCUCGCUGGGACGGUACUGACGCUGAGGCGCGAAAGCGUGGGGAGCGAACAGG
rnacentral:rRNA from 1 species